rnacentral:rRNA from 1 species
CCUACGGGUGGCAGCAGUCGAGAAUCAUUCACAAUGGGGGAAACCCUGAUGGUGCGACGCCGCGUGGGGGAAUGAAGGUCUUCGGAUUGUAAACCCCUGUCAUGUGGGAGCAAAUUAAAAAGAUAGUACCACAAGAGGAAGAGACGGCUAACUCUGUGCCAGCAGCCGCGGUAAUACAGAGGUCUCAAGCGUUGUUCGGAAUCACUGGGCGGAAAGCGUGCGUAGGCUGUUUCGUAAGUCGUGUGUGAAAGGCGCGGGCUCAACCCGCGGACGGCACAUGAUACUGCGAGACUAGAGUAAUGGAGGGGGAACCGGAAUUCUCGGUGUAGCAGUGAAAUGCGUAGAUAUCGAGAGGAACACUCGUGGCGAAGGCGGGUGCCUGGACAUUAACUGACGCUGAGGCACGAAGGCCAGGGGAGCGAAAGGGAUUAGAUACCCGAGUAGUC